UACAGAGGUCCCAAGCGUUGUUCGGAUUCACUGGGCGUAAAGGGUGCGUAGGUGGUUAGGUAAGUCCGAUGUGAAAUCUCCAGGCUCAACCUGGAAAUGGCAUUGGAUACUAUUUAGCUUGAGGAGUGGAGGGGGGACUGGAAUUCUCGGUGUAGCAGUGAAAUGCGUAGAUAUCAAGAGGAACACCAACGGCGAAGGCAGCUAGCUGGACGAGAUCCGACGCUCAGGCUCGAAAGUAUGGGGAGCAAAAAGG
rnacentral:rRNA from 1 species